rnacentral:rRNA from 1 species
UACGAAGGGGGCUAGCGUUGCUCGGAAUCACUGGGCGUAAAGCGCACGUAGGCGGACUCUUAAGUCGGUGGUGAAAUCCUGGAGCUCAACUCCAGAACUGCCUUCGAUACUGGGGAGUCUCGAGUUCGGGGAGAGGUGAGUGGAACUGCGAGUGUAGAGGUGAAAUUCGUAGAUAUUCGCAAGAACACCAGUGGCGAAGGCGGCUCACUGGCCCGAUACUGACGCUGAGGUGCGAAAGCGUGGGGAGCAAACAGG